rnacentral:rRNA from 1 species
GAUGAACGCUAGCUGGAGGCUUAAUACAUGCAAGUCGAGCGGGAUCGGGUAGCAAUACCCAUGAGAGCGGCGCACGGUUGAGUAACGCGUACACGACCUACCUCUAACAGGGGGAUAGCCCUGGGAAACUGGGAUUAAUACCGCAUAUCAUUCUGAAUAAUAAAGGUUUGGAAUGAAAGCUGAGGCGGUUAGAGAUGGGUGUGCGUCUGGUUAGCUAGUUGGUAGGGUAACGGCCUACCAAGGCGAUGAUCAGGAGGGGGCGUGAGAGCGUGGUCCCCCACACGGGUACUGAGACACGGACCCGACUCCUACGGGAGGCAGCAGUAAGGAAUAUUGGUCAAUGGGCGAAAGCCUGAACCAGCCAUCCAGCGUGCAGGAAGAAGGCCCUAUGGGUUGUAAACUGCUUUUAUCAGGGAAGAAACCUCUGGAUUUACUCCGGAGCUGACGGUACCUGAAGAAUAAGCACCGGCUAACUCCGUGCCAGCAGCCGCCGUAA